rnacentral:misc_RNA from 1 species
GAUGAAGAACGCAGUGAAAUGCGAUACUUGGUGUGAAUUGCAGAAUCCCGUGAACCAUCGAGUCUUUGAACGCAAGUUGCGCCCGAAGCCAUUAGGCCGAGGGCACGCCUGCCUGGGCGUCACACGUCGUUGCCCCCCCAUCUACUCCUUCGGGAUUGCGGGGGGCGGAUGAUGGCCUCCCGUGCGCCUCGCCGCGCGGUUGGCAUAAAUGCCAAGUCCUCGGCGACGCACGCCACGACAAUCGGUGGUUGCGAAACCUCGGUUGCCCGUCGUGUGCGGUCGUCGCGCAUCGAGGGCUCGAAAAAAUUGCCGGGCUCCGGCUCGGCUUUCAACGCGACCCCAGGUCAGGCGGGGUUACCCGCUGAAUUUAAGCAUAUCAAUAAGCGGAGGA